AACGAACGCUGGCGGCAUGCCUAACACAUGCAAGUCGAGCGAGACCUUCGGGUCUAGUGGCGCACGGGUGCGUAACGCGUGGGAACCUGCCCUUAGGUUCGGAAUAACUCCCCGAAAGGGGUGCUAAUACCGGAUAAUGUCUUCGGACCAAAGAUUUAUCGCCCUUGGAUGGGCCCGCGUUGGAUUAGCUAGUUGGUAGGGUAAAAGCCUACCAAGGCGACGAUCCAUAGCUGGUCUGAGAGGAUGAUCAGCCACACUGGGACUGAGACACGGCCCAGACUCCUACGGGAGGCAGCAGUGGGGAAUAUUGGACAAUGGGCGAAAGCCUGAUCCAGCAAUGCCGCGUGAGUGAUGAAGGCCUUAGGGUUGUAAAGCUCUUUUACCCGGGAUGAUAAUGACAGUACCGGGAGAAUAAGCGCCGGCUAACUCCGUG
rnacentral:rRNA from 1 species